UACGGUAGGGUGCGAGCGUUUGUCCGGAUUUAUUGGGCGUAAAGGGCUCGUAGGCGGCUUGUCGCGUCGGGAGUGAAAGCCCGCCUGCUUAACGGGCGGGUUUGCUUUCGGUACGGGCAGGCUGGAGUACGGCAGGGGAGACUGGAAUUCCUGGUGUAGCGGUGGAAUGCGCAGAUAUCAGGAGGAACACCGGUGGCGAAGGCGGGUCUCUGGGCCGUUACUGACGCUGAGGAGCGAAAGCGUGGGGAGCGAAUGGG
rnacentral:rRNA from 1 species